UACGAAGGGGGCUAGCGUUGCUCGGAAUCACUGGGCGUAAAGGGUGCGUAGGCGGGGCUUUAAGUCAGGGGUGAAAUCCUGGAGCUCAACUCCAGAACUGCCUUUGAUACUGAGGAUCUUGAGUUCGGGAGAGGUGAGUGGAACUGCGAGUGUAGAGGUGAAAUUCGUAGAUAUUCGCAAGAACACCAGUGGCGAAGGCGGCUCACUAGCCCGAUACUGACGCUGAGGCACGAAAGCGUGGGGAGCAAACAGG
rnacentral:rRNA from 1 species